AAAAGGCGAUUGAAUGGGAGUCAAGAAAAAGGAUCCAACAAGACGAUUAUGUGAGUGGCAAUGGAAGACGAACACACAGAAGGACUAAUGGAUGGACAAAAAAGAAAAGGAGAAAGAGGAGGAAGAAUAGACAAGUCAAUUUGUUGACGAAAGAAAAAAGACGGAUCCCUCGAUCGAACGAAGAGAGGAAUGAUGUAGCGAGAAGGCGACAAAUUUAAAAAUUAACGGACCGAAUACAACAGGAACCGGAUUGAGAUCCGAAAAUGCAAAGCAAAGCAAAGCAGAUGAGGUGAGAAAAAAACAGUCGAUACAAAGUCGAGGCAAUGUAAGACGGAUGGAUGAGAUUUUCCAAAGUUGGAUGUAAGGAAAAUACAGAAGAAGUAGAAGAGGAAAAAAUAGAAUAAAAACAGACCCACAAACAAAA